ensembl:lncRNA
CAAUGAUAGCCAUACAAGAUCUCAGAAUUCUAGGCCUUAGAGAAUGGAAGCACAAUAAUUUUGAUGCGAGAAAACUCAGUAAGCUCUAUGUCAACCAUUUCAUAGUGUUUCCAUAUGUGUAUGUAUACAUACAUGUGUAUGUACCCCUAUAUCUAUUUUGAGUGGUAUUUACCACUUCAGAAAUAAGACAUGAUAGACUACUUGGAAAUUAAUGAUUAUUUGUGGGAAAACAACUAAGGCAGCAAAUGAAAUCUUAAAUUAAGGUGUGCCUUUGAAUCAUCUGCCUUACUCGGGUCAGCAGUGAGCAAUAUUUGUAGUAUGUAGUAGAGUAUAACUGAACGGGUAGCUGGGUAACUGCAUCAUUAAGUUGCCUUUCAAAAUAUAUGUCGAGAGAGACUGAGUCCUGAUGCUGGAACAGUGGACCAAAGAUGGACAGAUCUCAUGAAUGCUGUGUCUGAGCAGAGGAGACAAGAUUGGUAAACUGGUGUGCGGGCUGUGAGUUGAGAUCCUGGGAAACAUAUUAAUGAUAAGGCAAAGCUUAAACGGACUGGACAAACAAAGUCAGAGGUUCAUAAAGAUUCAGAGAGAGCUGGAUGCCGAACAUGUGUUAGGUUAGUUUCUACCCUCAAUGACAUGCCUUCAUGCUGGCUUGGUGUCCUCCUGUGACUGGAAGUAGAACUGUAACCUAGGUCAUCUUUAGUAAAUGGGAAGAGGCAGUGUUUUGGGAGAGGAAGAAAAAAGAGAAAGAUGGAGAAGAUGUGUUCAUGUAUGUCAUAUUUGCUCUCUUCUUUGACGCUUUACCCUCCAGUUUUAUUCUAUUGGUAGACUUUUCACCAGCCAAGGACAAAUGCUUGUCCUCCUAUUCUGCUUGUUGAAUUGGCAGAUUUUUAAGGGUUAUUGUAAUUUUAAAGAGGUAAUUAUUUUGUUAUGUUGUAGUGAAAAUUAGAACAGGAAUAAUUUUCAAAAUUUAAAUACAUUGCCUUUAUUUUUUGGUGAAUAAUAUUUGGGAAGUUAUUACAGACUGUAUCUUUAUGAUGCCUAGUGUUACCCAUUAGUCUAACACUCCUUUUAAUAGUCAUGAGGAUAAUUUUCCUUAAGACUUUCAUCUAUCUCAUUUAUUCUAUUCCUAGAUGAUUAUGUGUGUAUAGGGGCUGCAACACAUCAACAGUAAUAUUUUAUUAGCCUUCUUUCUUCCAUGAGAUUGCAUCUGGGUUUUGAACAUGAAAUUGAUGCUUGUACAUGUACUUAAAUUAACUCCAAAUGUCUAAGCAGUGUAUACUGGUUUAUUUUUUUCAAAAUUGACUCCUAUUUCCUAGUAUGUAAUCUCUCAUUAGGGACCUUUUCUUUUGUUUAAAUAUUUUUAUUAGAUCUCAGUGGUAGAAUACGUGCUUUAAUUACACAUUUAAUUCAGUGAGCUUCAGUAAUAUUUUUGGAACAUAUGCUCAGUAACUUAACAUAUUACUGGAAUGCCUACUGAGUGCUCAAUAUACAGAAACUAUUGAAGAAAUGGAGCACUUUGUCCCAAAGAAGGCCCAGUGUAGUAUGAUACUCUGUCAAAGCCAUUCUGUCACUGACGAAAGAUGCUCCUGUCUAAGCUUGAAUUAUGAGGCACGUACUGUGUGGUGUAUUCAAGGAAUAAUGGGUAUAAAUUGGAAUUGUGGCUUUAUUUUUUCAUGUAAAAAAAAAAAGAAAAAAAA